GACGAACGCUGGCGGCGUGCUUAACACAUGCAAGUCGAACGGUAAGGCCCUUCGGGGUACACGAGUGGCGAACGGGUGAGUAACACGUGGGUGAUCUGCCCUGCACUUCGGGAUAAGCCUGGGAAACUGGGUCUAAUACCGGAUAGGACCACUGCCUGCAUGGGUGGUGGUGGAACGCUUUUGCGGUGUGGGAUGGGCCCGCGGCCUAUCAGCUUGUUGGUGGGGUGAUGGCCUACCAAGGCGACGACGGGUAGCCGGCCUGAGAGGGUGACCGCCCACACUGGGACUGAGAUACGGCCCAGACUCCUACGGGAGGCAGCAGUGGGGAAUAUUGCACAAUGGGCGCAAGCCUGAUGCAGCGACGCCGCGUGAGGGAUGACGGCCUUCGGGUUGUAAACCUCUUUCAGCACCGACGAAGCGCAAGUGACGGUAGGUGCAGAAGAAGGACCGGCCAACUACGUGCCAGCCGCCGCCGUAAAAC
rnacentral:rRNA from 1 species